AGGACUUGUUAAAGAUUAACAAUUGAGGGGAAUUGGGGAGCUCUGGAAAGCCUUGAGUAGUAUAAGUCAACAAUGCAAGUGGUGAUUUUAAGAUUUUUUUCAAAAAACUUAAAUAUUUUAUAACCAUGGCUUUUUAUUAGGAAUUAUAACUUCAAUAAUUCUUUUGCUGACUUUUAGUAUUUAUCAUUUCAGAACCACUCACGAAUUCUUGUUUGGUGCUCUUGCUGAACUGGUUGAUAAUGCAAGAGAUGCUGAUGCCACCAGAAUAGAUAUUUAUGCAGAAAGACGAGAGGACCUUCGAGGAGGAUUUAUGCUUUGCUUUUUGGAUGAUGGAGCAGGAAUGGAUCCAAGUGAUGCUGCCAGUGUGAUCCAGUUUGGGAAGUCGGCCAAGCGAACACCUGAGUCUACUCAGAUUGGGCAGUACGGGAAUGGGUUAAAAUCGGGCUCAAUGCGCAUUGGGAAGGAUUUUAUACUCUUCACCAAGAAAGAAGACACUAUGACCUGCCUCUUCCUGUCUCGCACCUUUCAUGAGGAAGAAGGCAUUGAUGAAGUGAUAGUCCCACUGCCCACCUGGAAUGCUCGGACCCGGGAACCUGUCACAGACAAUGUAGAGAAAUUUGCCAUUGAGACAGAACUCAUCUAUAAGUACUCUCCCUUCCGCACUGAGGAGGAAGUGAUGACCCAAUUUAUGAAGAUUCCUGGGGACAGCGGAACAUUGGUGAUCAUCUUCAAUCUCAAACUCAUGGAUAAUGGAGAGCCAGAACUAGACAUAAUCUCAAAUCCAAGAGAUAUCCAGAUGGCAGAGACGACCCC
rnacentral:sRNA from 1 species